UCAAAGGCAGUGAAGAGGAGUAGUAGUCGCGGAACCUCUGGAGAGAGCCGGCGGAUGGUGCGAGCCGGUGGGGGGAAACGGUGAACUCGCCUCGGAGCCGCUCCGGUGAACGAAGAGUAAUCGGAGACGUCACCCACGUUACGGGACAAUCGAGGCCUGGCAGCUCUGUCUGCCGGAUAAAUAAGGGUGGUACCACGGAGAGCUCAAGCCUUCGUCCCUUUU
rnacentral:ncRNA from 1 species